CGUUACUCCCGUGGUUAAGUAUAGUGUAUAAACAGUCAGUAAUCUGCUUGCCUGGCAACUACGCCUUCUCAGGUAAAAGUCGAAGUACUUGGCGGUCUAGUGAUAAACCAGCCCGUGAGACUUGACGGUUGAUCCGAUAAUCCGCGUAAAUUCUACUCUUUCUUGAAUUCCCAGUUGGUGUAUGGCCGUGCAGUGCUUCCUCUAAGGGAGUGGCAAGAUCCCUGUUUAUUAUUAGGAUGAUUUAAGCAAGUGGAGGAAGACAGGUCGUCAUGCCGCCCAUGAAGGAGGCUUAGUUGAGUCACAUUGACAAAAAAUCAAGCGGAACUGUGGAAGGAAGUAGCCCGGGGAAGAAGUAAUGGGUAGUAAGAAGAAAAUAAUUCGUUUUUCUGAAUCGUGAACUCCUAGGUGUACAAAUCGCCC
rnacentral:rRNA from 1 species